UACAGAGGUCUCAAGCGUUGUUCGGAUUCAUUGGGCGUAAAGGGUGCGUAGGCGGCGCGGUAAGUCGGGUGUGAAAUCUCGGAGCUUAACUCCGAAACUGCAUUCGAUACUGCCGUGCUUGAGGACUGGAGAGGAGACUGGAAUUUACGGUGUAGCGGUGAAAUGCGUAGAUAUUGGGAAGAACACCGGUGGCGAAGGCGGCAACCUGGUCCUUUACUGACGCUGAGGCGCGAAAGCGUGGGGAGCAAACAGG
rnacentral:rRNA from 1 species